AAGUCGUAACAAGGUUUCCGUAGGUGAACCUGCGGAAGGAUCAUUAUCGAGUUUUUUGAACGGGUUGUCGCUGGCCUUUCACGAGGCAUGUGCACGCCUGGCUCAUCCACUCUCAACCUCUGUGCACUCUAUGUAAGAAACGGUGGACGUGCUGGCUCUUUGAGUCGGUAAGAAAGCCUUUUCUUAUGUUUUACUACAAACGCUUCAGUCAUAGAAUGUUUACUGUGUAUAACACAAUAUAUACAACUUUCAGCAACGGAUCUCUUGGCUCUC
rnacentral:misc_RNA from 1 species